rnacentral:rRNA from 1 species
CGAUUCUGGCUCAGGAUGAACGCUGGCGGCGUGCUUAACACAUGCAAGUCGAACGGGAUCCAUCAGGCUUUGCUUGGUGGUGAGAGUGGCGAACGGGUGAGUAAUGCGUGACCGACCUGCCCCAUACACCGGAAUAGCUCCUGGAAACGGGUGGUAAUGCCGGAUGCUCCAGUUGAUCGCAUGGUCUUCUGGGAAAGCUUUUCGCGGUAUGGGAUGGGGUCGCGUCCUAUCAGCUUGACGGCGGGGUAACGGCCCACCGUGGCUUCGACGGGUAGCCGGCCUGAGAGGGCGACCGGCCACAUUGGGACUGAGAUACGGCCCAGACUCCUACGGGAGGCAGCAGUGGGGAAUAUUGCACAAUGGGCGCAAGCCUGAUGCAGCGACGCCGCGUGAGGGAUGGAGGCCUUCGGGUUGUAAACCGUCGUUUAUCGGGAGCAAGCGAGAGUGAGUUACCCGUUGAUAAGCACCGGCUAACUACGUGCA